rnacentral:lncRNA from 1 species
CCAUCGGCCUGAAGGAUCUGAGAAUGAAACUUAGUAUCAUUCCUCAAGAGCCAACUCUUUUCAGGGGUAGCGUGCGGAGUAACAUGGAUCCUCUAGAUCUGCAUACCGAUCAUGAAAUAUGGGAGGUUAGCGACUUACUGAUAUUGUCAAAACUAGGGGAAGCAAACAUAUUUCCACAAUGUCAUGGUUAAAUAAGAGGGUGAAUCAUGACCUAAGGAACUUAAGAUUUUAUUACAGAAAACAUUCAUGUCACAUUGCUGCCGAUAUUUAUUUUCAAAUAAUGUUGUAUAUCGGAAAUUUUACUAAAUUUUGUAUGUGCUCUAAUUUCUUUCUCAAAAGUUUAGGUCGACAUAAUCAAAACUGCCGCUACUAGGUCACAUAAAUACUAUAAUUUUCUAGAUCUUAGUGGUCAGUAAAUUUCUGUAACAUGCUAAAAAUGCCCAAUCAUAUAAUUGCUAUACUCUUUCCACUCUAGAGAUGAAUUCUGCUUUUCACAGUGAUGUCUUUUUUGAGAACUUCCAAUGUGAUAUCAAUCAUCUGUUACCACUUUGUUUAUCACAGGCAUUAGAGAAGUGCCAACUUAAGGCUAUUAUUAGCAAUCUACCUGCUCUUCUUGAUUCAUCAGGUGAAUUAAUUCAUCCAUUGAUAAUGAGCUCCUCAUUCCUUUAAGUGGCAAUCCAAUGUUCAUAUGGUUUUCUAAUUUGGCAGUGAGUGAUGAUGGUGAAAACUGGAGCACCGGUCAGCGCCAACUCUUCUGUCUUGGUCGCGUGCUCCUUCGUAAGAACAGAGUUCUUGUUCUAGAUGAAGCCACUGCCUCCAUUGACUCUGCGACUGAUGCUGUACUUCAGAGAGUCAUCAGGCAGGAAUUUUCAAGCUGCACAGUGAUUACAGUAGCGCACAGAGUCCCGACUGUUAUGGACAGUGACAUGGUCAUGGUCCUCUCUUAUGGUAUGUAUGAGAACCUUUGUCUACAUUUUUUCAGAAAGCCUUGUGCAAACGUCAAUAUAUAUUUGUCAGAUAAUUUUAGGGUUAUGAUUUUUUUUAUGCUCAUAAUUUGCAAUAUAUCGUGUGGCAUGGACAUAUCAUGCCGGCUAGUCCAAUUUAAACAGAAUAUUGAUCUCUUGUCUAGUUAGCAGUUCUGCAAAGCCCUGUAAAAGAUGCUAUAGGGUUCAUGAAGAAUUAACUGACGAUACAUCAGAACCAAAAGGGCUAUCUCAGCCAAUUUGCUAUGAAGUUGUUCAACAACAAAAUUUAACUGCUAAUGAAUGAACUGGAAAUCUACCUCAACAUGCCAUAUUGCUGCAUAUAAUCAAAGUUGCGAUAACCAUACAAAAUUAGAAAUGCAGUCGAGGUGACAUAGACCACAUGGAUAGAUAUGAGAACUUGGAAGCAGCAACACAAAAUGGUUGCAAAUGGAAGAUAUGACAAACCAUAUAAUUUUUUUCCAAAAAAAACAUUCCUCAAAAAGACAAACCAUAUGAUAUGCAUGAAAUGUUUUAGGGACAAAUAUAAUCAAGAGUUUCAUGCAUACAUACUAAAAUUGGGAAAGAGAAACAGAACAUUGAACGAUGGACUUGGCUUCGUAUUAAAUAUAGAGAAGUUUUCAAAUAAUACAUGAAAUCAAGUAGUAGCAAGUCGACCAGCAGGCUCACUUGCAAAUCAUCAUAAAUAUAUUUGAAACCUUAAGAUUCAGAGACACAUUAUUAUUAAUCACCAUACUUGAAUUAUAAACAAAACUUGAGCAGUUAUUCGUUUUAUAACCAGAAUUUGUUUAAGGGAAUGUAAACAACCAGUAUUUGUUAUUCGUACAUUAUAUAAGAUGGGUCGACAACAAUUACUUUGUAAUGAGUGUGGAUGAAUAAAAAGUGAAGUUCUCUCAAAAAGAGUAAAAAGUAAAGUUGUUGUAUACAUAAGCCUUUCAAGAGUGUAUAUUUGAAGCCAGGAUAGGGGAUGAAAUUAUUCUGGAGAUCCUUAUGUAUGGUGAAAUGCUCCAUUUGGUGAUCACAGUCCUUACACCACUAAUGCCUUUACUGUUUGCAGGAAAGCUUGUAGAAUAUGACAAACCUUCUAAACUAAUGGAAACCCACAAUUCUGCCUUUGCUAAGCUUGUGGCAGAGUACUGGUCCAACUGUAAGCGAAACUCCAGCAAUACUCUCACAUCCAUCUUGGGAGACCUAAGAGGGGAAUAAAACAAACAGGUCCCACUAAGAUAUGGCGGUCCAACCUUUGAAAAAUUCACCAACUGAAGGGUAUAUAGUUUGGUCCAGAGGGGUCUCCAUGCUCCACCAUUCAUUCUCUCUACUAAAUAAGUGAAUGAUAGUAUUAAAAAAAUCAUGGACCAUGAAAGAAUUUUGUGAAAUGUCGACCUUAUUUAUAGCAGGAUAUUAUAUGCAAAAGGUCAUACUUGUACUUUUUGAAGCCUAACUGCUUGACAUUGUAGCCAAGGCAGUUUUUUCUAUUUUAAGUGCAGAAAGUGUACUGUUUUUUAUUGCAAUAUAUCCUUAUAUGUUUACUAAAUGCACCAUAUCUUCUUAUUAGGAAUUGUGAACACUACUGAAGUAAUGAUCAUGGGAUUUCUUGACUUUCGCCCAUCCAUCAUUAGCCAUCAUUAGACAUAAUAUAUUACAAUGAAGAACUCCUUAUGAGACUUGUCAUAAAACGUCAAAAGAGCUAGUUUAACAGCCCAAUUGGUACUUUUGGUAGCAGGGCUGUGAUCAGUGGCUCGAAAUCUUAAGGCUUUGUGUUAAAGGUGGAGGAAGGUGUCGGCCGCAAUGAAUGAAUGUCAGCCUUAACGGCCAUCUAUAAGUAAUACAAUGACUUUUAUUUGCAUUUUCUUUCUACCUUAAUUAAUAUGUAUAACAAUAAUUAGAAAAUUAUAGAAAGAUCUGACUCCCACGAAUGAAGACAAUGAUAUGAAUCAUGAGAUUACAGUGUGUGACAACUAAUUGCCCAUUUGACAGACCUAAUAAUUGAACUUAAUAAUCUAAGUGGACACUGGUGACAUCACAUUAUUACAUUGAUGUUUGAUUUUUUUUUAAAAAAAUAAUAAUCAGAAAUGGUUAACCUAUGAACUUAAGAUAUUUAAGCAGGAUAAGAUACUGCAAUUGGGAUGGGUGUACCUUACACUGUUCAUCAUAGAAUAUUAGAAAAAUCCAAGAUCAAUUGCUCUAAUUUGUCUGAAGUUAAUCAAUUAACCACUUGCUUGCAAGCGCUCCACUCUAUCAUGGCAUGUGGUACCUAUCAAUCACUAUCUGUUGAAGUAACCUGGCAGUUGCGAUUGGUUCAUCAGUUCAUUUGCCAUUUCCUCACUAUUUAAAUCUUUGACCCAACAAAGGCGGCAUAGCAUGAAAAAAGAAAUAAAAAGGGAUAACUUUAGAGGUCAACCUGAAGAUUUUACUAAUUCCAUAAUUAGAAACUAACUUAUAAUCAUUAUAUUGGUUGUCAUUACAUGUAUAGUUAGUCAAAAAAAUAAAAACCAUAAAGGUUCCCUCAAAUGGGCAUAUAAUUAUAUAAUCAAAAACAAGGCUUAUUAAUUUAUAUCUCCAAAAAAAAAGGAACUAUUAAGCUAUAGCAUUAUACAACUUUUAAGCAUGGCAUUUACCUUUUCCAUUCUUUAGUGCACCACUUUACAUAUAUAAUACUAGCUUUCAGAAUUCAUCUAUAAACCAUAAAGCAUCAAAAUCCAUAUAUGUUCUAACUUGAGCUUCCAGUCUAAUUUCAUGCCCAUACUUAAUAAGAAAUUUGAUAUCCAUCACAACUAAGGACCUGCUUGGACAAUUGGGCUCCAAAUCCUAUAGGAUUUGUGGGUUGGGCCAGUACAACCAGCAAGAUCAUAGGAUUACACGCUGAGCUAUGCCUAUAUUUAUAAAUACUCACGAUUAGCUUUGGAGCGGGCCGGCCUGAAUCCCAUAGAGAGAAAAAAAAAGACAACAGGUUUUUUUUUUAAUUAAUCAGAAUAGAAAUAAUUAAUCCUUCAGAAGCAAUUAUUACACAAGUUAUUUCUGUUUCCUUUUGGCUUAAAAAUUCUGGAAUAACAACAAGGCUGAGAAUGCUGUUGUUUCUUGAAAGAGGGACGAAUGAUUAAAAGAUGGUCUUAUUCUAGCAAUAAUGUUAUUCCAACUCUCUCUUUGAAAAUAGUUAUUUCAGAUAUCAAGAAAUUUAGACCACAUACCCAUGGCAGAUGCCACAGCUUCGCCAGUCAACAGGACCCUUCCUUGGAAGGAUCCUUGGAAGAAUAGUUGUCCCUCAUGGUGAGCUCCCUCAAGCUGAUCAUUGGUAUGAUCUUAAUUGCAUUGCGGCAACCAUUGAUUCCUAGACUGCUGCUGCCGGCUUAAAUGGCAUCUCCUUCAUGAACUCCACCAAUCUAUUGAGAUUCCCACAAUUUUCCAAAAACUCCAACCAUCCAAAUAUAACCUUCACGCCUGUACUGAUUAUCCAGUCUAUAAGCAUGGAUUCCAAUGUUUGACAGCUCCAGCUCUCUCAGGGAAUUGGAUCACAACUCGAACUCUCUCAUCAGCUCAAAAACCUCCGAGACCGUUGGAAUCAAACCAAGACUCCAUCCUUCAUUCAGCCAUUUGAUCAACCACGGGGCAGGCGUCCAAAGCACUUGGAUUUCCUCAAGCACACGGAGAGAAGAAGGCCGGGGAAUCGGAGAUGUGCUUAGGUUCAUGAGCUUAGAUUCGAGGGGUAAAGAUGAGGGCUUUAGGUUGAGGGUUCCGGCAAGGGAUCGGAGAACCGUGCCUUCGAGAGAGCCGUGGCCAUCGCCAUGGAGAAAAAAGGCCAAGGAAGCGGGGGCUGGAAAGAAUGGUAGGGACCAGGACAGACUUUAUUUAUCUAAGACCUCUCAUUAUUCAUUAAACUUGUUUUGCGUUUUCUAUAGAAUCUAGCAAUCUAUUUAUGGGCAGUAAUAUUUAAUUAUUUAAUUUAUUUAACUCGAUUACGAUCAAAAUGUGCCAUACUAUACCAAAACAAAACAAAUUCGAUACGCCAAACCUUUCUCUAUACCGAACAUGCCUAUAUAGUACAAUGGCACUGAUAUGAAAUCCAAUACCAAAAUGGCGUACCUUAAUUCAAAAUAUUAUAAAUCAACUCAGAUUAUCUGUUUAAUAAAGUGAUCAGUUUUAGAUAUGAAUUUUUAAUAAAGUGAUCGGUUUUAGAUAUGAAUUUUUGAUUGAGCUAAUAAACAGACCGGAUUCGAGUUGAUAAAUUU